rnacentral:rRNA from 1 species
AGCGAACGCUGGCGGCAGGCCUAACACAUGCAAGUCGAGCGGCCGUAGCAAUACGGCAGCGGCAGACGGGAGAGUAACACGUGGGAACGUGCCCUUCAGUUCGGAACAACCCAGGGAAACUUGGGCUAAUACCGGAUACGCCCUUACGGGGAAAGAUUUAUCGCUGAAGGAUCGGCCCGCGUCUGAUUAGCUAGUUGGUGGGGUAAUGGCCCACCAAGGCGACGAUCAGUAGCUGGUCUGAGAGGAUGAUCAGCCUCACUGGGACUGAGACACGGCCCAGACUCCUACGGGAGGCAGCAGUGGGGAAUAUUGGACAAUGGGCGCAAGCCUGAUCCAGCCAUGCCGCGUGAGUGAUGAAGGCCCUAGGGUUGUAAAGCUCUUUCGGCGGGGAAGAUAAUGACGGUACCCGCAGAAGAAGCCCCGGCUAAUCUCGUGCCAGCAGCCGCCGUAAUAC